AGUUACAUGGUGAUUCUCGUGGAGAUACAAGAUGGCGAAGACGUCUCGAGAAUAUUUUUUUGUGUUUUGCUCAUUAAUGUUGUUUAAAGUGUAAUAUUGAUAGCUUAUUAUUCAGUGAACUAUAAUGGAAGUGUGCAACUAAUGCAAAACGAAUCUUGAUACGCGUUUAACCUUUGCGCCGCCAUUGACUUGAUAUAAAGUCAGUAAAUUUCGUGCCCUACACGCCACGUCUUCAUAUCUAGUCGUGGUUUUGGUCAGAUCUGCAUGCGUGCAAUUUUUGACGUGGCGUUGGUGACACUUUAUUACUACAUUGACGUGGCGGCGAAAAGGUUAACUAUGUUUUAAUCAACACCCGGCUUCCAAGUCGAACUAUAUUUUUACUAAAAGCAACUACCGAACAACGUCAUGCUCUACGAGCACACAUAAAAGUUACUACUGAACAACGACACUUGACAUUGGCAAAAUCAUCAUAGAUCUGAUGGCGGCCAUAUUGUAGAAGAAAAAGUUAGAAGGUUCAGAUUUGCGCUUGAUAAGCAGCAUUAUCUAGUCUUUUAUUAUGGCGUCGCGUUGAGUUUCCUUGAAUAAGGAUGACUCAUGUUACAGUCUGCAGUAUUCAUUUAUAAAUAAACCAAUUAAAAGUAAUGUAUGCAUACGAUACUGACCGUUUGAAUGUUAAACAACAUAAUCAAUAUAAAGAACAGGUCGCCAAUUAGUAAAAGGAGUCGAACUGUGCCAGUCUCUUGGGCCUGUAAAACAGAUACUAAUUGCUGUAGUAAUUGUGGUCCCAGAUGUGCCAAUAGUCACGUCAGCAAUAAGAGUACCUUACUGAAGACAGCCGCCCAAACCGUCACAAUUCUCGUUAGAGUCGCGGUGAUAACAAUGCCUCGACAAUGCCAGGGAGGAUCACCGUCAUCACAAAGAAUGAAAUAAACAUCAAAUACAAAGGUGCAACAUCAACAAAGACGAGAGCCAAGAAAGUAACAGCACUAGUAGUGGAAAAUAAAGAGACAAUAAGGUCGAUGGCAAUAGUUAGGGAAUCAAAAUACCUCUAUGACUAUAGUGGCUCUGUGAGCUGUAGACCUCGCUUAGCUUAGAAAAUGUGAAAGUGAAAAAUACUUAGUUCGUUGAGUUAUUUUCACAGUCACCUCACAAUAGUCUUAAGCGUCAUAAAUGCUAUUGGCGCUUAAGUCCUUUAUGCUAAUUUCGCAUAUUGAAAAUUUCCCAAAAACGGAAUUGACACAAAACUAUUUCAUCAUAGAAUCUGGUCACAAAAUUUCACGAGAAUCGGUUAAGCAUUAGAUGAGAACAUCCGGACAUAUGAAAGCAAAAUGUGCGAGUUAAAAUGGAGACCUUCGCUAAUGCUACGGUCAAUAAUCGCAAUGUGGAACACCAUAGUAAUAACAAUGAUAGCAUUUUAUGGUCUAACGAAAGUAAAAUGCCACACCGUGGUCAAAGGAAUGAUUGUAGUAAUAUGAAUGAUGGUUACGUUAAUUACAAAAGUAGUACUGACGAAUUUAAUAAUAAAUAUUACCGGAAUAAAAUGACCACUGUGGCUCCAACUAGAAAAAUAAUGUUCUUUUCGAAAUUUGGACUAUUUUCCAGUCCCCAAAGCAGAAGGAAGAAAUACAAAAUAAAAUUGUGUUUAUAAAUGAAAACCUAACUCUUUUUACCCUCUUUGGGUAAGACGUGUGUAUGUGUACAGUCUUAAUAAUGAGGGAAUUAAAGUAAGUACGAGUGUCGAUAAACAAAACAAAACGGAUAGUGGGCCGUUGGUGAUCUAGGUAUUUUUAUUUUUUUAUAAAGUAUUCUGAGCUACGUUUGCAGAAAAUGGUUCAGUUUAAAUGUCACCCGCCAUGAAUCCAUGAGUGUAUAGAAGCUAAUAAAAAAAUAUACAAUAAAAUUAUCUUGAGAAUAGAAUUAUCAUGUGUCACAAAUCAAACAAAAGGUUGCCUUUUGUUCUGUCAUAUCAUCGCCCAAAUUUGACAUUGAGCUCGACCCUGCCAUGGCUAUAGUUAUAAUACUAUACGUCCGGCAAAAUUAGGCCAAAUAGCAACAUAAAAGAGAAAACAAUUGGCAUACACGAGUAGUUGAAAAAAUGGCCAACGCGGGAACGUGUAUUGCUGCUGUGUUCCUAGUUAUUAUUGUAGCCGUUCAAAGUGCAAGGUUGCGGCGUAGCGAAUAUUUAUUCGACAGCCUUGAAGACGCAAGCAUCGCCGGGGACCACAUUGUAGCCGUUGGUGCUGACUGCAGUGAUGAUGACAGCAGUGAAAGCCUGGAGUUAGGCUACGUCAUCAUCAACAAGCGAGAAGCGCCCGCAGGACCGCGCG